CUACUAAGGGCGCGCGGUGGAUGUCUGGGCGUUGAGAGGCGAUGAAGGACGUGGAAAGCUGCGAAAAGCUUCGGGUAGCCGCUAACAGGCUUUAAUCCGGAGAUCUCCGAAUCGGGAAACCGGGCAGGUUCGCCUGCCAGCCUCUAGCUGAAUACAUAAGCUUGAGGUGGCCAACCCGGGGAACUGAAACAUCUAAGUACCCGGAGGAAUAGACAUCAAAGACGAGAUUCCCUCAGUAGUGGCGAGCGAACGGGGAACAGCCUAAACCUUAUCAGUGUAAGCCUGGGGGCGUUGCUGGUGAGGUGUCGUGGGACGUUCGAGCAGGCCCCAGUACUGCAAAGGAGUUACAAAACUAAAGGCUAACUAAACGGUUUGGAAAGGCCGGCCAGAGAGGGUGACAGCCCCGUACGUGAAAGCUUUUGGUCUCCUCGAGAUGUUCCCGAGUACCGCAGGGCACGUGAAACCCGGCGGGAAUCUGGGAGGACCAUCUUCCAAGGCUAAAUACUACUCAACGACCGAUAGUGAACGAGUACCGUGAGGGAAAGAUGAAAAGUACCCCGGUGAGGGGAGUGAAAUAGUACCUGAAACCGCGCGUCUACAAGCAGUCGGAGCACUAUGCCCUUUUUGGGAAUGUGCGACGGCGUACCUUUUGCAUAAUGGGCCUGCGAGUUACGGUAUGUCGCAAGGUUAAGCCGUUAGGUGUAGCCGAAGGGAAACCGAGUUCUCACAGAGCGACAAAGUGGCAUGCCGUAGACCCGAAACCGAGCGAUCUACCCUUGGCCAGGUUGAAGCGCGGGUAAAACCGCGUGGAGGACCGAACCCACUGGAGUUGAAAAUCCAGGGGAUGAGCUGAGGGUCGGAGUGAAAGGCUAAUCAAGCUCGGAGAUAGCUGGUUCUUCGCGAAAUAUAUUUAGGUAUAGCCUCAGGCGAAUUCCAUCGGAGGUAGAGCACUGAAUGGGCUAGGGGUCCCACCAGAUUACCAAACCCAAUCAAACUCCGAAUGCCGAUGAGAAAUACCUGGGAGUCAGGCUGCGGGUGAUAAGGUCCGUAGCCAAGAGGGAAAGAGCCCAGAUCGACAGCUAAGGUCCCCAAGUUCAUGCUAAGUGUGAAAGGAUGUGGAAACGCAUUGACAGCCAGGAGGUUGGCUUAGAAGCAGCCACCCUUUAAAGAAAGCGUAAUAGCUCACUGGUCGAGCGAGUCUGCGCCGAAAAUAUAACGGGGCUAAGCAUGACACCGAAGCUUCGGGCUUUCGUAAGAGAGCGGUAGCGAAGUAUUCCCAAGCAGAUACAAGGUGUACCGAAAGGAGCGCUGUCGGGCUUGGGAAGAGCUUAUGCAGGCAUGAGUAGCGAUAAACAGGAUGAGAAAUCCUGUCGCCGUAAGCCCAAGGUUUCCUGGGGAAGGAUCAUCCUCCCAUGGGUUAGUCGGUUCCUAAGCUGAGGCCGAGAGGCGUAGGCGAUGGAAAGCAGGUUAAUAUUCCUGCACCACAAGGAUGGUAUUGAAGCAAGCAGGGACGAAGAAGGGUAGGCCGAGCCAGGUGUUUGGUUUCUGGUUCAAGCCUGUAGGCGGAUCUCGUAGGACCCAGUAGGGACAAACGCGAGGUCAACGCCGAGAGGUGAUGAGGCUGGACUUAGGUCCAGAAACUCGGUGAUCCCAUGCUUCCGAGAAAAGCUGCGUGUGGAGCCUCUUUGUGACCGUACCGCAAACCAACUCAGGUGGGCGGGGUGAGUAUCCCAAGGCGCGUGAGAGAACACUGGCUAAGGAACUCGGCAAAAUUGCACCGUAACUUCGGGAGAAGGUGCACCCGCUAGGGUGAUAGGGCUUGCCCCUGGAGCUCCGGCGGGUCGCAGUGAAAAGGGGGUUGCGACUGUUUACUAAAAACAUAGGACUCUGCGAAAUCGUAAGAUGANGUAUAGGGNCUGACGCCUGCCCGGUGCUGGAAGGUUAAGUGAGGGGGUUAGCGUAAGCGAAGCUCUUGAUCGAAGCCCCAGUAAACGGCGGCCGUAACAAUAACGGUCCUAAGGUAGCGAAAUUCCUUGUCGGGUAAGUUCCGACCUGCAUGAAUGGCGUAACGACUCCGCACUGUCUCGACCCGCGACCCAGCGAAAUUGACAUAGGGGUGAAGAUGCCCCUUACCCGCAGCAAGACGGAAAGACCCUGUGAACCUUUACUCUAGCUUGACAGUGAUAUUCGAUUUAGUUUGUGUAGGAUAGGUGGGAGACUUUGACCUUGGGGCGCCAGCCUCAAGUGAGUCAUUGGUGAAAUACC
rnacentral:rRNA from 1 species